ACAAGCGGUGAGUGCUUUGGGGUGGGGUGACUGCGUACCUUUUGUAUAAUGGGUCAGCGACUUAUAUUCUGUAGCAAGGUUAACCGAAUAGGGGAGCCGGAGGGAAACCGAGUCUUAAUUGGGCGUUAAGUUGCAGGGUAUAGACCCGAAACCCGGUGAUCUAGCCAUGGGCAGGUUGAAGGUUGGGUAACACUAACUGGAGGACCGAACCGACUAAUGUUGAAAAAUUAGCGGAUGACCUGUGGCUGGGGGUGAAAGGCCAAUCAAACCGGGAGAUAGCUGGUUCUCCCCGAAAGCUAUUUAGGUAGCGCCUCGUGAAUUCAUCUCCGGGGGUAGAGCACUGUUUCGGCUAGGGGGCCAUCCCGGCUUACCAACCCGAUGCAAACUGCGAAUACCGGAGAAUGUUAUCACGGGAGACACACGGCGGGUGCUAACGUCCGUCGUGAAGAGGGAAACAACCCAGACCGCCAGCUAAGGUCCCAAAGUCAUGGUUAAGUGGGAAACGAUGUGGGAAGGCCCAGACAGCCAGGAUGUUGGCUUAGAAGCAGCCAUCAUUUAAAGAAAGCGUAAUAGCUCACUGGUCGAGUCGGCCUGCGCGGAAGAUGUAACGGGGCUAAACCAU
rnacentral:rRNA from 2 species